CCUACGGGGGGCAGCAGUGAGGAAUAUUGGUCAAUGGGCGGGAGCCUGAACCAGCCAAGUCGCGUGAGGGAAGACGGUCCUACGGAUUGUAAACCUCUUUUGCCGGGGAGCAACGGGGUCCUUGCGAGGGCCCGAUGAGAGUACCCGGAGAAAAAGCAUCGGCUAACUCCGUGCCAGCAGCCGCGGUAAUACGGAGGAUGCGAGCGUUAUCCGGAUUUAUUGGGUUUAAAGGGUGCGUAGGCGGGCUGUUAAGUCAGCGGUCAAAUGUCGGGGCUCAACCCCGGCCUGCCGUUGAAACUGGCGGC
rnacentral:rRNA from 1 species